UUCUCCUGCAUGAUCUUCAUCAUCUCACACAUCGCUGUGUGAAGACACGAGCACAAAAGUCAACAUGGGCUGCAGAACACACAGUUUAUAUUUAGAAAUACGACACUCAGGGGUGCAGUCUGUGAACAGUGGCACCAGUAGAGGCACAUUGUCGAUGUUCUUCAAAUGAGGACGAACCUGAUGGAUGCCACGAGGCAGUUUGGCCUACAGAACAACGUCUUCCAGAAAACUGGGAACGUCACUGUCAGUAGGUUGGAAGCUGGCGAGAUCCGAUUGGUCCUCAGGCAACAGUGGCCCCUCGGCAUCAUCGCGAGAAUCUAAGAAUACA